rnacentral:lncRNA from 1 species
GGGGGCCAAACCUAUUCAGCCCAACACAGAUGUCAUUUGCUGAGUGAAGCGCUCUGGUAGAGGCCCUCCUUGAGAAUAAGUGACGGUUUAGAGGAAGGCAAGUCCUGGGUGUCUGGUUCAAAAGAAACUCAGAACAAAUGGUGAACUGUGGUUCCUAUUAGCAUACCAAAGAGCAUGCUGGCCUCUAGGCUCACUCAGCACCUGUGGCUCUUCUCACCUCACCUCUACCCUAAACUUCUCCAGCUCAUUGGCUUUCCUUCCCCCAGCUUCUCAUUCUUGUAAUGUAAUAACACUACCAUUUCGGCCGGCCAUGUGCUUUCUUGAUUCUCCCUCCCUUUCCCCCUCUCUUUUGGUCCUUACUUCUCUUCCUCUCUCACUCUCCAACCCCCCCAUCAGUCUUCUGGCCAUGUUUAAUUUCCUACUGUCUUUCCACUCUGGAUUCUUCCAGAUGCCUCUGGCGGUGUUCUCCCUCCUAUCUACAAUAAAAACCUUCCCCCUAACCAUAA